rnacentral:rRNA from 1 species
UUCCGCAAUGGACGAAAGUCUGACGGAGCAACGCCGCGUGAGUGAUGACGGCCUUCGGGUUGUAAAGCUCUGUUAAUCAGGACGAAAGGCCUUCUUGCGAACAGUUAGAAGGAUUGACGGUACCGGAAUAGAAAGCCACGGCUAACUACGUGCCAGCAGCCGCGGUAAUACGUAGGUGGCAAGCGUUGUCCGGAAUUAUUGGGCGAAAAGCGCGCGCAGGCGGAUCAGUCAGUCUGUCUUAAAAGUUCGGGGCUUAACCCCGUGAUGGGAUGGAAACUGCUGAUCUAGAGUAUCGGAGAGGAAAGUGGAAUUCCUAGUGUAGCGGUGAAAUGCGUAGAUAUUAGGAAGAACACCAGUGGCGAAGGCGACUUUCUGGACGAAAACUGACGCUGAGGCGCGAAGCCAGGGAGCGAACGGGAUUAGAUACCCCGGUAGUCCUGGCCGUAAACGAUGGGUACUAGGUGUAGGAGGUAUCGACCCCUUCUGUGCCGGAGUUAACGCAAUAAGUACCCGCCUGGGGAGUACGACCGCAAGGUUGAAACUCAAAGGAAUUGACGGGGGCCCGCACAACGGUGGAGU